UCCUAGGUGGUGAAAAUGGUUAACACACUUGGCUAAUAACCAAGAGGAUGAAGGUUCAAGUCCACUCAAAGAC
rnacentral:tRNA from 1 species